AGAGUUUGAUCAUGGCUCAGAUUGAACGCUGGCGGUAUGCCUAACACAUGCAAGUCGAACGAGGUAGCAAUACCUAGUGGCGGACGGGUGAGGAAUACGUAGGGAUCUGCCCUUAAGUGGGGGAUAACCCGGGGAAACCCGGAUUAAUACCGCAUGAUCUCGCAAGAGCAAAGAGGGGGACCGCAAGGCCUCUCGCUUUUGGAGGAACCUACGUCGGAUUAGCUAGUUGGUGAGGUAAUGGCUCACCAAGGCGACGAUCCGUAACUGGUCUGAGAGGAUGAUCAGUCACACCGGAACUGAGACACGGUCCGGACUCCUACGGGAGGCAGCAGUGGGGAAUAUUGAACAAUGGGCGAAAGCCUGAUCCAGCAAUACCGCGUGUGUGAAGAAGGCCUUCGGGUUGUAAAGCACUUUAAGUUGGGAAGAAAAAGCUUCACCUAAUACGUGAAGCCUUGACGGUACCGACAGAAUAAGCACCGGCUAACUCUGUGCCAGCAGCCGCGGUAAUACAGAGGGUGCUAGCGUUAAUCGGAUUUACUGGGCGUAAAGCGUGCGUAGGUGGUUUGAUAAGUCGAUUGUGAAAGCCCCGGGCUUAACCUGGGAAUUGCGGUCGAUACUGUCAGACUCGAAAACGGUAGAGGGAGGUGGAACUCCAGGUGUAGCGGUGAAAUGCGUAGAUAUCUGGAAGAACACCGAUGGCGAAGGCAGCCUCCUGGGCCUGUUUUGACACUGAGGCACGAAAGCGUGGGUAGCAAACAGGAUUAGAUACCCUGGUAGUCC
rnacentral:rRNA from 1 species